rnacentral:rRNA from 1 species
CAUGCAAGUCGAACGGCAGCGCGGGAGCAAUCCUGGCGGCGAGUGGCGAACGGGUGAGUAAUACAUCGGAACGUGCCCAAUCGUGGGGGAUAACGCAGCGAAAGCUGUGCUAAUACCGCAUACGAUCUACGGAUGAAAGCAGGGGAUCGCAAGACCUUGCGCGAAUGGAGCGGCCGAUGGCAGAUUAGGUAGUUGGUGAGGUAAAGGCUCACCAAGCCUUCGAUYUGUAGCUGGUCUGARAGGACGACCAGCCACACUGGGACUGAGACACGGCCCAGACUCCUACGGGAGGCAGCAGUGGGGAAUUUUGGACAAUGGGCGAAAGCCUGAUCCAGCCAUGCCGCGUGCAGGAUGAAGGCCUUCGGGUUGUAAACUGCUUUUGUACGGAACGAAACGGUCUUUUCUAAUACAGAAGGCUAAUGASGGUACCGUAAGAAUAAGCACCGGCUAACUACGUGCCAGCAGCCGCGGUAAUACGUAGGGUGCAAGCGUUAAUCGGAAUUACUGGGCGUAAAGCGUGCGCAGGCGGUUAUGUAAGACAGUUGUGAAAUCCCGGGGCUCAACCUGGGAACUGCAUCUGUGACUGCAUAGCUAGAGUACGGUAGAGGGGGAUGGAAUUCCGCGUGUAGCAGUGAA